rnacentral:rRNA from 1 species
GUGGGGAAUAUUGGACAAUGGGCGCAAGCCUGAUCCAGCCAUGCCGCGUGAGUGAUGAAGGCCUUAGGGUUGUAAAGCUCUUUCACCGAUGAAGAUAAUGACGGUAGUCGGAGAAGAAGCCCCGGCUAACUUCGUGCCAGCAGCCGCGGUAAUACGAAGGGGGCUAGCGUUGUUCGGAUUUACUGGGCGUAAAGCGCACGUAGGCGGUUUGUUAAGUCAGGGGUGAAAUCCCGGAGCUCAACUCCGGAACUGCCUUUGAUACUGGCAAGCUAGAGUCCGGAAGAGGUAAGUGGAACUCCUAGUGUAGAGGUGGAAUUCGUAGAUAUUAGGAAGAACACCAGUGGCGAAGGCGGCUUACUGGUCCGGAACUGACGCUGAGGUGCGAAAGCGUGGGGAUCGAACAGGAUUAGAAACCCCGGUAGUCC